rnacentral:rRNA from 1 species
GACGAACGCUGGCGGCGUGCUUAACACAUGCAAGUCGAACGGAAAGGCCCUGCUUUUGUGGGGUGCUCGAGUGGCGAACGGGUGAGUAACACGUGAGUAACCUGCCCUUGACUUUGGGAUAACUUCAGGAAACUGGGGCUAAUACCGGAUAGGAGCUCCUGCUGCAUGGUGGGGGUUGGAAAGUUUCGGCGGUUGGGGAUGGACUCGCGGCUUAUCAGCUUGUUGGUGGGGUAGUGGCUUACCAAGGCUUUGACGGGUAGCCGGCCUGAGAGGGUGACCGGCCACAUUGGGACUGAGAUACGGCCCAGACUCCUCCGGGAGGCAGAAGUGGGGAAUAUUGCACAAUGGGCGGAAGCCUGAUGCAGCAACGCCGCGUGCGGGAUGACGGCCUUCGGGUUGUAAACCACUUUCGCCUGUGACGAAGCGUGAGUGACGGUAAUGGGUAAAGAAGCACCGGCUAACUACGU